GACGAACUGUGCGAACGUUAUUCGGAAUCACUGGGCUUACAGGGCGCGUAGGCGGGCCCGUCAGUCAGGGGUGAAAUCCCACGGCCCAACCGUGGAAGUGCCUCUGAUACUGCGGGCCUCGAGGGGGAUAGGGGCGUGCGGAACUCAGGGUGGAGCGGUGAAAUGCGUAGAUAUCCUGAGGAACACCGGUGGCGAAAGCGGCGCGCUGGAUCCCUUCUGACGCUGAGGCGCGAAAGCCAGGGGAGCAAACGGG
rnacentral:rRNA from 1 species